CAGCAGAAACCCCUCGGGAGCAGAGCUUGUGUCAGCAGAUCUGAACGAGAAUCACAGUAAUUAUGUUGGAUGAAUGUGCAUACAGUGGCCUAGCAGUUUGACUGAAUUGGAAAAUCAGCAAGAGUUAGCAAUCUUGAGGAAGAAACAAAAGGCUGAAGAAUAUGAAUAGGAGGGAGAGGUUUGAAAGGAAUUUUAAAUGUGAGGCUCUGGCAAAAAGCUAGAUAGAG
rnacentral:lncRNA from 1 species